GAAAGGAUUCUUCAUGCUUCUAUUUUAAAGCAACCCAAACUAGAGAGUGCAUGCACAACAAAUAAUACAUUUUAUAUAUAGAAGAGAGAAAAUGGGGGAAUGUUGUAAGAGGAUCUUGUUGAGUGCUUCUUUUGGCCAUAGAGAAUACAUUGUGCUAUUUCUAGUGAUGUUUCAGCUUGUUAGGGUUUUAGGAGGGUACACUCCGAAGAAUCAAACGAAGAUUCCCGCUGUGUUCGCGUUUGGCGAUUCGAUUAUCGACCCAGGUAACAACAACCACCUCAAGACCCUGAUCAAGUGCAAUUUCCCGCCCUACGGUAAGGAUUUCAUCGGGCACCAGCCGACUGGGAGGUUCUCGAAUGGAAAGAUCCCAACCGAUUUACUCGGUACGUAUACUUUUGUGAGAAGAACAAAAUUGUGAAACGUAUAUAAUUUGAUGUUAACUUUCGUUGUUUGACUCAGCUAAAGCUUUGAAAGGUGCUAAUAGUCAUUUUCGUAUGAUCUAUAAAGAUGUUUUUAUUGAAUGCUACGUAUAUAAAGUUCACGAUAAUGACUAUUAAUUGUUAGUGCUUACCAAACUAAUUAAGAAUCAAAAGCUCACUUCAACUUCAUUCUUCGGCUAAACGCUCUAAAAUUCUCUCUCUUUUUUUCUCCCCUUUUCUUUUGGCAAAUUUAAUUUCUGACUUCUCCUUCUUGAGCAAACACGUUGCAUGUGCUUAUCUUCUGCGGAGUAUGAUAAUAUGAGUUGAGAAGGAAUAAAGUGUUAAUUACUAAAAGCUAAAAAAUUUUAAAUCAAGCUUAUUACAUACUACGAGAGAUUUUUUUUUUUUGAGAAAAAGGUAGCACGCUAUCCGCUUCAUUCAUUGGAAAAAUGAACUAGGCUAUAAGGGUGGGGCAACCCGGGCUCCUAUACUACGAGAGAUUUAUUAGAGACUUAUUUGGUGACGAAGAGAUAAAACCAAAAGAGUAAGCACUAUCCUCGUAAUGUGAGGAACAAUAACUCACCUCAUCCAUAUGUGCGCGCGCGCGCGUGUGUAUAUAUAUAUAUAUAUAUGUAUGUGACCAUUUCUGUAUAUAAUGUGGGAUAUAUUUAUAGCAACUAUAUCUUAAUGAGAGCCAAACUAUAGAAAAAUAAUAUUAUUGUAGUCAUUGGCCAAAACAAAUGGGACAAUGGCCAAAACAAAUGGGAUUUUUUUAGUGUUACAAGCUGUAAUCUUGUGCUCACUUUGUACAAUAGUUUAGAUGAGCUUUAAGUUCAUAAAAUAAUUACAUCAAAUUUGAACUUAAGGAUUUAAUUACCAUUCGUAACAAAUGAGGAAAUGCUAUAUGCCCACAUCAUUCUACCCAUACGCAUACACGCACACACAUGCUAACAUAGAAUAGUUGAACAUCUUAUUAGGUUAUAUUUCACAUCGAUCAGGAUAUUUUCACUUUGUCAUCCAGUAAUUCCAAAAGUUACAGCUAAUCAUUAAAUAUUUUUAUUUUUAUUUUUAUUUUACUAUAAGGAUCUGUUGUCAUAUAGGAUGACAAAGUUAUAAGUUAUGCAAUUCACAGUUAAUGCAACUUUCGAACUACAGGAACAUGAUAAAGAAAAAAAAAUGCACUAAAUCACAGGGGAGCAAAUUUAAAUGCAUUGUGUACUUAAACUUCGAUUGAUGGAAAGCAACGAUAGCAUAUCUAUAACUUAAUUAGAUUGUGACUCUUGAUCCACAAAUAUUGCGAAUAUGACAACACUUAUUUUGGAAUUAGUUAUAAUAAAAGAUUCUAAAACGUUACUAACCUCUCAAAUUAAGGUGCUAGGUUGUUGAGUGAGAUCUAACCCCUUGCAUUAAAUGUGUUUGUGACUGCUUGUUGAGCUCACACUUGCCAAUUUUAACAACCAGUUACCUAAGGGGAUUUGAAUUUAACUUUUCGGCCAUUUUGUUUUACCGAAAGUGAAGUUCCAAUUGAAAUAGACUUUUCGAUAAAAUAGAGUCGAGGAAAAAAUUAUGCUUCUUCUGCUGUUUGUUUCUGUAGCCAUGGAAUUGAAGUUUUUCUAGCUAUUUUUGCUAUUUGUUUUGCAGAAGAUGAAUUACGUAAAACCUUCCCUAUAAAUAAUAUUUUAUUAUUUUUUCACCAUUUGUAAUUGGCUAGCUAGGUAUGGGUGGGCCGAAGUGAAUUUUAGUAUUUUUGAGAAGUUUGAAUUUUGACCGAAGAUAAAAUUAUGGUGAACCAAAUAAUACAAGUGAAUAUUUACGAUCGAAAAUCAUUUCAUCCAACUCUAUUUCUGGUGAAACAAACACACCCUUGAAGUUUACUCUCGCAAAUUUGUCCCCAGUUGGAUGUCAAUUUUGAUUCGUCUGCGGAUUUUCGGUCUCCCAUGAUAACCUCAUGAGUAAAUUCUAGUAAAAAAAUAUAUAUAUAUCUUUCUAAUUCUGCAAGUUGAACUGGCUCGCCAAAUACGUUGCACGAUUACUUUAAAUUAGCGACUAAAUUAUUACAGAAAAACAGUUAAUAUUCUUAAAUAUAAGAAUAUUAUAAAAGAUACCAUUCUAUACUAUUUUAACCUUUUGAAGAAUAAUGGUUAUUUCAUAUAUUUUAAUAUGGUAUCAGAGCAGGCGAUCCUGAGUUCGAGUCCUGCCAGGCCCUUUAGCAUAAUUAACUUUCUCCCAUUUAAUAUCAAAAAGUCUCGAGCCCAGAUAUGAGGAGAUGUCUUAAAUGUAAGAAUAUAUAUAUAUAUAUAUAUAUAUAUAUAUAUAUAUAUAUAUAUAUAUAUAUAUAGAGAGAGAGAGAGAGAGAGAGAGAGAGAGAGAGAGAGAGAGUUGAGCUAGAAUACUAUCGAUACCAAACGGGCUACGUUGCCAUCCAUUUGUUUUCGAUGAUGGAGCCUCCAAAUCGACGAUCAGCAUCAUUGAAUAUGAUCUAUACCACUUGAAGUGUUUAGAAAUCAAAUUUUAAAUCUUUUCGAUAUCAUUUGCCUAAUGAUCAAAGGGUAUAUAUAUAUAUAUAUAUUAUUUUCUAAUAGCUUAACUUUUUGGAGAAUAGCGGUCGUUUUAUAUAAUUUUUAAUAAAUAUUUUAUAUGCUUCAACAUAGUGUCAGGACAGAAGGUACUGACCAGAGGCCCUACGGCUCAUUUAAUUUUUCACAUUCUUUAAUGAUUUGUCUAAAAUGUACCCUAAUUUGAAAUUUUCAGUUUCUGGAUUGGGUAUAAAGGAGUUGCUUCCUCCAUAUCUUUGGGUGCAUCUCUCACCUGAAGAUCUCCUCACUGGUGUUAGCUUUGCUUCUGGUGCCUGUGGAUAUGACCCCCUAACCUCAGUUCUUGUGGUAAUUAUGCAUUAACUUUUAAUUACUCCCAUAACAUUUUAAUUCUACUUGCUUUCCUUUUUGUUUUCCAAAGUUCUUAGAAAACUUUGUCAAAUCACAUUUAACUGUAGUAAUUUAUAUUUGAAAAAUAAUAGAAUAUCGCAUUUGUUUACAAAAGCAUUGCAUUUGUUCAUCUAUUUAUUAUAUAAUAGAAUGUUAGACCGACGAUGAUCGAGCACUUUGAUUCUGAUACAAUUUUCUAAUAACUUCUUAUAAAUCCAAAAACACAUAAAUUUUAGAUAGUAGAGUAAAAAAUUUCUGAAGUUCAAGCGAACAUUUUAAAAUUUCCGCGUAACUUAACUAAAGUUUACCUAUCUUUACCUAUUUAUUAUUUUUCAGAAUGUUAUAUCCAUGACUGAGCAACUCCAACUGUUCGGAGAAUAUAAGGAAAGAUUGAAGGCCAUCGCAGGCGAGGAGAGGGCGAGAUAUAUCGUCUCCGAGAGCGUGUACCUCGUCUGCACUGGAACCGACGACAUCGCCAACACUUAUUUCACUACGCCGUUCAGGAAAACACACUUCGACAUCCCUUCCUACGUCGACUUCCUCGUUUCUAAAGCUAAAGAGUUCCUCAGGGUAAAUUUAUUCUGUGAACUUCCCGUAAAAGUUUACCCGGGUCACUGAACUUCAAUUUAUUUCAAUCAAUCCAUCGAACUCCUAAUCAUUUUUGCGAUAAAGUACUGAUGCAGCGGCUCAUUUAAUACAGACUGAUUCAGCUGUCGCAUCAUCUCAAAAUUAUUCUUAUUACUUAACUAUCACAUCAUUAUGACGAGAUAUAUUAUUUCGAACGAAAAUUAAAGAAAACUAGCCAAUUGGAACAGAAACAAAAUUGUAAUUUGUCAUUAACUAAUUGAAAAUUUGCUGCUUUCUUCUUUUUUCUUUUCUUUUUUUUGAAAUCUCAGCAAUUACGACAAAUGGGUGCGAAGAAAAUAGGGUUUGUGGGAUUACCCCCAAUAGGAUGUUUACCUUCACAGAGAACACUUGGAGGGGGGAUUUUGAGAGAGUGCGAGCCCAGGCGUAAUGAAGCAGCGCAAUUGUUCAACGCCAGGAUACAAAACGCAAUAUCCGAGCUGAGAAAUGAGGAGAGCUUUAGAGGGGCAAUUGUGGUCUACAUGGGCAUCUACGACAUCUUGAUUGACAUCAUCCAAAGACCUUAUGCUUAUGGUAAGUGCUUCUGCUUAAACAAACAAGUGCUUGUUUGACCGUGCUUCUGCUUUUGCGUUCAGUAUAAGUCACUUGGGUAGUAAUAAAUUAUGUAUGAAGAAGAAAUAAACUUCUAAGCCUCCAAAUUAAGUAGAAUGUCUACUUUUGGCAUGACCAACCAACCAGUCUCAAACCCCACAGAAUAAAGUAUAAAAAAAAGUUAUACUUCAAUCCUCCUAUAUACAAAUUUCUUUACGGAUUGGGUAUAUUCUGGUCACCCUCUGUGGCAUCCGUAUAUAAGCCAAUCAAAAUUUUACAUACAUGCCUACUAGCGUCUCGGUAACUGUGACAUCUCAAGGCUUAGGAGUUAGGAAUACUCACACACCGGAUAGCUAUUGCUAUAUGUGGGAGUAUUUUAAGUCUGAAUAGUCUUAGACUCAAUAACUGGACUCUAACAUUUUGGGCCAGUGGAUUAGGCCCUAUAAGUUAUUGGGUUUAGAGUACAUAAUUAAUCAAACCGCGGACUUAGCGAUGGAUGAUUUGCUGGGAAGCAGAUUGUGACAGUUUGGUAUCGGAGCGAAUUGGCCACUCACAUCGCCUAACGAUCUUGGGCUAUGUAUAUGACUGUUGCGAUUGAGUCCGAUGAGAAUGUCAAGGGAGUAAGCCUGAAUAGGCUAGACUCAAUAACUUAAAAGUACAUUAAGCCUGAUGAAAACAUCAGGGCUAAAAGAGGAUAAGCUUGAAUAAGCUGGACUCAAUAACUGAAGUUAUUAGGUAUAGGAUACCCAGUUAAUCAAGCCGCGGGCUUAGUAAUGGAUGGCCCCGUGGAAAGCAGAUCGUGCCAGCAACAUGUGAGAACGGUAUUUUAGAAACUUCACGAAUAUAAAGACCUUGUUUGACUUUUUUUUUCUUUAUAUCAUUUGGCUUGCAUUGCAGGAUUUGAGGAAACAACAAGAGGAUGCUGUGGUACAGGAGAAAUUGAGGUCACAUUGCUCUGCAAUAGCAUUACUGCGCCAACUUGUCCUGAUGAUACCAAGUUCGUAUUCUGGGACAGCUAUCACCCAACUGAGAAAGCUUACAAGAUCAUCGCCGACGACAUGUUUAGGAAAUACAAUCAACUCUUGUCUUAGAUUGAGUUCGAAUGCGUCGAAAAUUAUUCGGCCAAUCUCUUCCUCGCGCUAUUUAGACAACAAUUACGUAUAUCUGUUGUCGUCGUUUUUCUCUUUUCUUUAGCAUAAAUUUUACGGAAUGGAGUGUGACCGUGAAUGAAUGGGCGCUUGCAGUCACGACAUCCAAUGGAUUUGUUCAGCAAUAAAAUUUAAGAAUAUAUUAUUAUAUUCUUUCCGUUUACGUCAAAUUGUACUAUAUAAGUUAGCAUCAAUGAUUAGAAUAGAAAAGUUGCUCUCUCAGUACAUCCAAUAGUAAUUAAUGGCUUAUAGUAAAAAGAAAAAGAAAAAAAAAAGAUAAUAACACAACCGAACAAGAGCUUUUUAAGCACACACACGCAUACUUUUAGUUCGAAAUGGCAUUCAAAUCUGGAUCCGAUCAGAAAAGAAAAUCUUAUAGUUAUUGUAGGUCUGAGUACAUCGCUUAGAUUGAGCCAAAUGCAAUAAUCUCAAACUGAGACCUGACGGGUAGGGGUGGAAAUGAGCCGAGCUCGAGCGAGCUUAUCUCGGCUCAAAUUCGGCUUGAAAUUAAUUUCAAGCCUAAAUUUAAGCUCAAGCUUGAAUUGAAAUUAAUUCGAGCCGAGUUCGAGCGAGCCUAAUUUCGAGUCGAGCGAGCUCGAGCCCUAAACGAGCCGCUUGAAAUUCUCAACAUCAUAUGAUUAAUAGUUUAAUUUGUAUAGAACAUAAUCUAUAAUUUAAUACAAACAUAUGUGUAAUAGUUCAAAGUACAAAAUAAUUAUAUGAAAUAUAGUAUUAUAAUAUGAAGAAAAAUAAUUUAUGAGUUGAUAUCUAAUUUUUUCAGCCUCACAUGUCUUCUCUUCCGCCUUCAAUCUCCAUAUUAUUCAUUUUCAUUUAUGCGGUCAAAAUUAAAUAAAUUAUAUAGAUAAAUAUUGAAUUAAAUUAUCCAAUCAUCUAUAACUAAAAUUAAAAUUUUAUAUGAAUAAUAAUUUUUUAUUUUAAAAAUAUUCUGUAUAUUUUCUCAAGCAUACAAUUAAUAGCAAGGUAGGCAAUGACGGGUAUAUGCUGUUACUUGGUAACUUGGAGGGCUUCCGGCUUGGCCACUUAGGGUGAGAGACAGAAAAAGAGAAAGAGAAACAUAUUAAAAAUUUAGAGCUCUAUGAAAGAAAAAAAAGAAAAAGAAAAAUGUAUAAAUUUAGUAAAAUUUUGCUCUUGUAUUUGUCUAUUGGGUUUAUUUUUAUGGGCCAACAAUAUUGGCCCAAUUUUACUAUAUUGAGAUUAUUCACUCAGCCUAUAUAUAAUUAAUAUAUAAUUAAAAUAUAUUAUAUUUAUAUAUAUUUUUAAUAUAUAUAUAUAGUGUAGAACUAUUAUGCUAUCGAAAAUAUAGAGGAUUUGAUGUUUUCGAAUUUUUGACCCUUUGAUUAAGAAUUGUUUGGUUGGGAUGACUGCGGUCCCCCUAGGAUUAAAUAAUAUUCUUAGGAUUGAGUGGUCCCUACAAGAUAAUAAUAGUAUUAAUCCAAAGAUAAGAAAUGAUUAAAGGGGUUGAUCUAAGAAUCAAAAAAUCGAAAGCAUCAUAUCCUCUAUACUUUCGAUAGCAUAGUAGCUCUACUAUAUAUAUGUAUUCGAGCUUUUCGAGUUUUUCGAGCCUAAUUCGAGCGAGCCGAGUAAUACUCAAGCUCGGCUUGAAAUGAAUUCCGAGUCUUUUUUUUUGUUCAAGCUCGGCUUAUUUAAUUUCGAGUCGAGCUCGAGCGAGCCAAAUAUCGAGUCGAACGCGAGUCGAACGCGAGCCGGCUCGCUCAUUUGCCAGCCCUACUGACGGGUGGUUAAAAAGAUUUUUUAAAAAAAGAAGAAACUUUAAAUACCCCCAGUGGUUUCGCAUUUUCUCACUUUAGUACCCUGUGAUUUAAAGUGUAUCAAGUUAAUACCCGUGGUUUCGCACUUUCUCACUUUAAUACCUUGUGGUUUCAAAUGUAUCAAAUUAGUACCCUAUGGUUUCACACUUUCUCACUUUAGUAUUCUGUGUAAUAACAAAAAAAUUUGAAACCAUAGGGUACUAACUUGAUACAAAAAUGAAACCACAGGGUACUAACUUGAUACACUUGAAACCACAGUGUACUAAAGUGAGAAAGUGCAAAACCACGGGGUACUAACUUGAUACACUUUAAACCACAGGUUAUUAAGUGAGAAAGUGCGAAACCACGGGGGUAUUUGAAGUUUCUCCAAAAAAAAAAAAAAAAUCCAAACCUUGUGCGGAAUUUAUCGGGCCUCUAAUUUUCGGGCCGGCCCGAUUCGACUAAUCGAGCCUAGUUGGCCCUGACCUUUUAUUUUUUAUUUUUUUUUUAAAGAAUGGACCAUCCAAUUGUUCUCUUUCCAAAUAAAAUUUUUUUGUCCUUACCAGGCCCAUAAUAUAUAAAUUUUCUAAUAUAUAUCAACCAUGAAGAGUCAACAAAUUAUUGUGUAACUAGCAACUAACCCGUGCGAUGCACGGAUUUUAAAUUUAUCUUUUAAUUACAAUUUUUAUAUAAUAUAUAUUAAUUUUUAUAUAUUAAGUUUUUAUUAGAAAAAUUAUUGAAUCAAAUUAAAAUAAAUGCUAUCAUGAUAUACUAAUAGAUUGUAAGUAAAUAAUUUAAAAUAAAAAAAUUUUAAAAUGAAAAAGUAAAAAGGUUCAAAUCCAUUAAAAAUUUAACAUAAUUAUUAUUUAUAUAUUUUUAAAUACACAAUAUUGAAAUGACGAAGAAAAUUAAUUUUAUUUCAAAUUCUUAAUGACUAAUUCUGUAAAGUUAUUUUUUGAAGGAUUUAAAGUGACUAAAUUUGAAAAGUAAUGUUUUUAGAACUUAUAUGUUCUUUUAAAACUAAAAAAUUAUUAUUAUUGUGAAUAAUUAGUCGUGUAUAAUUGAUUAUUUUCUACAAUUUAAUCAAAAUGUAAAUAUAAUAUCAAACACCUCACAAAGUAAUUAUUAAGCAUUUUUGCGAUAGGGCAAAUAUUUAUGCGCUCCGAAAUUUUCAAUACAUGAGAAGUUCUCAAAGCUACUGGUAUGUAAUCCUGAAAAAAAGAAAUAAUACUUACAUUACAGAAAAUCCAAAUCAUUAAAAAAAUUAUUACUUUAUUAUUUAAUAAUUUAAAAUAAGUAAAGCUAUUAUAUGAUAUAAAAUAUAUAAAAAAGUGAGCAAAUUUUACAUAAUAAAAUAAUUUUGGAUAUAUGGUUAUGAUUUCUCAAUUAUUUAAAUAUUUGUAUAAUAAUUUAAUUAAAAUAGUUUUAUAUAUACAUAGUAUAUAUAAUACUAUAUAUAUAUAUAGUAUAUAUAUAUAAUCGCAAAAAGUUAAAUAAAAUUAAAAACAAAUCCUGGAUUUCACGCCGCCUCGCCUCUUUCUAUGACGGCCACCUCGCAUAUCCUGAAGUGAGUAAAAGUAAAACGCGGCGAGGAGUCGUUAGAAAUAAACCUCCAAAAGAGAAUAAGAGAAGAACUAUAAAGUGAAAUAGGCUCCAAUCAAGAAAGAAGUGGAAAAAAAAUAACUGUGUGCAGUUAAAAAAAAAAAUAUAAUGUGCAUUAAAAAAAAAUUUAUUAUGAUUUAUUAUUUUAAUAUUAAAAAUAAGUAAGCUAUUAAUAUAUUAAAAAAUCAUGAUAAAAGAAGACCAAUUUUACAAUAUAAAAUUGAAUGUUGGUUUGUAUGGUUUGUUUUCUUCUAAUUUUUAAAUAUUUGUAUAUAAUAAUUAAAUUAGUUUAUGUAUUAAUUUGGUUGUAUAGGUUAGAUUUUUAAAAUACUUAUAUUUGUAUAAUAAUUUUUAAUUAAAAUUAGUUGGUAUAAUUCUCUAAAUUACUUAAAUAUUAGUAUACAAUUUAAUUAUAGUUGGUUGAUCUUCUUCUAAUUACCGAUUAAAUAUUUGGUAUAAUUAAAAUAGUUGGUGUAUAAGAUAUAUAUUAUAGAUAUAUAUAUAUAUUAUUAUAUAUAUGAUGUAUAUAUAUUAUGAUAUAUGAAUACUCGUAUAUAUAUAUGCCGAAUUGCACUUGGAACACUUACUUUUGUAAAGUGCGCCAUCGGGCCAAUCAUAUGUUCAAAUUGGAACAAUCGUCUCCAAAUAAUAUAUAUUAUAUAUGAUAUCCUAUGCUUGUUAUUAUAAAUAUUGUCAUAAAAAAAGAAGGGGAAAAGAAAAAAAAAAAUGAACUUUAAGUUCAUAGCAAGUUUUCUGUACAUAUUUCCAUAAAAACCACGUAAAACUGACAAAAGAGAAAAAGAAUAUGUAAAAAAAAAUGUUCAAAAAGUUUAUAGAAUUUUUCGGGUGAAUCAAUUUUGCGAGCUAUGUUUUGUUUAUGUUUGUUAAUACAGUUAUUGAUGCUCUGAAUGCCAAAAAUAAUAAAUUUGUUGAUAUUACUGAAAUCAAAAAUGGCAAUUUAUCGUUUGUUUUAAAAAUAAAAAUAAUACAGAUUAGCAAUAAAAGAAUUUAAAUAUGGUGUAUAAAUUAUAAAGUUAACGAUCAUUCAAAAGAGCUAUUACAAAAAAAAAAAAAAAAAUACAGUGUAGUAAAUGAAAAAAAAAUCUAAUAUAUAGUGUAGGAGGAUGUAAUUAAGUCUAUACGGAAAGAAAAAAUCACAAAAUGAAAAAACAAAUAAAUGUGGUAUAGUUAUUAAACACUUAAAUAUAAAAUUACAAAAUAACAAAACAAAAAUAUAUAAAUUAAGAAAUUGUAAAAUGUAAAUACGUUACAGCGUACGGUGGUAAUUGAAAUUUGCCCAAUAAAAAGACAAAAACGCACGAAGAUGGAUGGGGUAGGAUCACCGAUGACUAUUUUAUUAUUAAAUCUAAAGUUUAAUAAUAAAAUAGUCGUAACACUAAAAAUAGUAGGCUCGAGGACGAAGGGUUCUAUACUCAUAAGAGUAUAGUAACCCUACUCUAUAUACUCUUAUAAGUAUUCCUUCCUCUUCAUAAAUUGUUUUCGAUAAUGGGGCUUUCGAAUCGACGAUCCACACUGUCAAAAAUGAUUUAGAGUAUUUAAAAUUUUUAAAAAAUAAAUUUCGUAAUUUUUUGAAAUCAUUAUAAAGUUGGGGACUGAUGGUGCAAUUAAAAAUAUAUGCGGACCCCACAAGCCCCCCGAGGAGAGAUUUUUUUUUAUAAUAUUAAUUUCAAAUUUAAAUUUAAAAAUCUAAAUUUUAUUUUUGAAAACUAAAGUGAAAAAUAUGCAAAGUUUAAAGACCAAAAUUGACAUAUAAAAAAAACCAAGCAGACGUUGACAUGACAAUUUUAUUGAUUAUAACACAUUUUUUAAUGGUUGGGGUGUAAUCUCAACGAAAUCAAGAGGAUUGAUAAUUUGAUUGAAAAAAAAAAUAUUAGAGACCAAAAUAAAAAUUAGUGUAAAAGUUGGGGACUAAUUGUGUAAUUAACCAUUAAUAAAAAUAUAUGUGGGCUCCACAAGCUCCCCAAAAUAAGGAGGGGCCUUCUUUAGCGUUCCUUUGUCAUGUAUUUUAUAGAAGAUAGAUAGAUAGAUAGAUAAAUAUUUUAAUUUUAAGAUUAAUUUCAAAUUUAAAUUCAAAAUUUUGAAUUUUUAUUUUUGGAAAAAAAAGUGAAAAACACACAAAAUUUAGGAACUAAAGUUGACAUGCAAAAAAAAGCUAAAUAGGUGAUGGCAUGAUAAUGUCGUUAAUUCUAAAACCUCUUUUAACAACGCCAUUGAAAGUUUGAUUGCAAAAAAAAAAAAAGAUUAGGGACCAAAAUAAAAAAUAGUGGAGGAUUGGGGACCAAUGUGCAAGAGAUUUGAAAUUUUGAUUGCAAAAAAAAAUUAGGGACCAAAAUAAAAAAUAGUGAAAAUGUUGAGGACCAAUAUGCAAUUAAUUUUAAAAAAAAUUGGAUGUGAGCCCCACAACUCUCCAAAAUAAAGAAAGGCCUCCAAAACGGUUGGGGAUUCAUGUAUUUGAUGAUAAUGUCGUUAAUUCUAAAACUUUUUUUAACAGCGCCAUUGAAAAUUUGAUUGGAAAAAAAAAAAAAGAUUAGGGACCAAAAUAAAAAAUAGUGAAAAUAUUGGGGACCAAUUUGUAAAAGAUUUGAAAAUUUAAUUGCAGAAAAAAAAUAGGGAUCAAAAUAAAAAAUAGUAAAAAGAUUGAGAACCAAUGUGCAAUUAAUCCUUAAAAAAAUUGAAAUUGAGCCCCACAACUCUCCCAAAAUAAAGAGAGGCCUCCAAAGGCGUUGAGGAUUCAUGUAUUUGAUGAUGAUAGGCUACAGUAAUAUUAUAUUGCAAAAUAAAAAAAACAAUUAUAAGCGGUUAAAGGUCAAUGAUCUUAAUUAUGCAUUUAACAAAGAGUAGUGUUUCUAUACUUGUUAUUUUUCGAUACCGUUCAUUUAUUUCUAUUCAACGAUUCAAAUUUAAUUUUUUUUUAAUUAUGACCUGCAAUAGCAAGUCACUAUGAAAGAGAUAUCGGUUACUAGAUACCCGAAAGAGGGAUGUUCUGCACUGUUACUACAUGGAUAAUUUAGUAAUUUUACCUCUAUUAUAUUAUCAAAAUUCUCUUCUCUCUUUGUUUUCUUUUUCUCUCUCUAUCUUUAGUAGAGAUGUAAAGGGGGUCAUAUUCGAGGAGGAUAUUUAAAACCUGAAUCCGACUAUUAAAUCCGAAACCCAAACCCAAAUCCAUAUUCAAUGAAUUUUAGAAAAUCAUGUCUACACGCGUAUCUGACUUAAAUCCGAAAUCCGAACCCUAGCUUGAACCUGAAAACCCGAACCCCAAACAUUAUUCCUCUUUACAAUAUUUCAGAAUAUAUUCCUAAUCAAUUACCCACAUUCAAUUUUUUUUUUAAAUAGCGAUACAAAAUUAAUGUCUAAACUAGAAAAGUUUUAAAAUUUUUUAAAACAUAUUAAAUAUGUUGAAUUUAAAUAUUUAUCCAAAUUCAAUAUUUUUUAAAUUAGUGAUACAAAAUUAAUAUCUAAACUAGAGGAAUACAAAAAUUUCCUAAACAUAUUAACUACGCUGAAUUUAAAUAUUUAUCAAUAUUACCAAUUUUUUAAAAUAAUAAUACAAAAUUAAUGUAAAAUAUAUUAAAUAUGUUGAAUUUAAGAUUUUAGCGUGCAUAAUUUUUAUUUUAAGAAUAAAUUUGAAUUAUACCCAAUAUUCCUAAUCAAUUACCACAUUCAAAUUUUUAUAAAUAGUGAUACAAAAUUAAUGUCUAAAGUAAAAAAAAUUCUAAAUUACAACAUAUUAAAUAUGUUGAAUUUAAAUAGUGGUACAAAACAUUACAACAUAUUAAAUACGUUGAAUUUAAUUUUAUUUUAUUUUUUUACCUACAUUCAAUUUUUCAUCACUCCUACAUUAAUAAUUUGUCGAUAUUUAACCAAUUAAAUUAAGUUGAAGAAUUUAAGUAAAUAAUUCAGAAAGCUCGAGUAUGAAAUUGUAACAAAUUAAAAUUUGAUGACCAACGUAUCAAGCGCCUAAUAGUUACUUUGACGAAAAAAAAAGUAAUUUACCCAAAAAUACACACCUCAACUUCAACUCUUCUGUUGAGAUGUACCCUUAACCCAAAAGUAAUAGUUAUUAGCUUUUGAUUUUCUAAAAUAAAGCAACUUUUGUCAAAUUUAUCGAUAAUUUUAACAAGUUAAAUAAAUUUAACUAUUCUUUAACAAAUUAAAUUAGAGCAAGUUGUUUCUGAUAGUUAAUAGAAACAUCAAAAUUAACGAUAUUUUAAAUUAAAGUAAUUAGCAUAACUCAACUAAAUUUUUUUUAAAAAAAAAAAGUUAAAAGAAUCUAAAUCUAAAUCUAAACAUAGUAAAAAGUAAGAAAAAAGGCCAUUUGCAAAUGGUGUAUAGUUCAGAGGUUCUCCAUACUAUAUUGAAAAAUACAAAAAACAAUUAUCUAUUAAACAUAAUGAAUCCACAAUAUUUCUUGCCACGUGGCAAGAAACCCUUCAUUCUUAGGUUAAUAGAUAAAAAAAAAAAAACCCACUUUGAGUCAAAUCAAUUCUCUAAAAAAUAAUAACCCACUUUGAACCAAACCAAACAUAAUGAAUUCACAAUAUUUCUUCCUCUUCCUAUGGUUUCUCUUUUCAUCUCUCUUACGUUAUAUUUAAAAGUUAUCUUAAUUUGUUAGUAGUGGGGCUCAUUAUUUUUUAAUUAAUGUGAAAUGUUUCUUCUUCCUACGCCUUCUCUUAUCAUAUCUCUUACUUUUAUUUUUAGUUAUAAAUGAGAACAAUUGCUAAUUAAACAUUGCUAAAAAAGAAAAAAAUAUUAAUUAAGUAAGUUACACAUUCAUAAAUCAUAUUGCUAAUUGAUAAUUUAGAAGGUCACCCGUUAUCUAAAAUUAAAUUUUGAACUUUAAUUGGGGUGAUUAAUAUGGAGAAUUAAUAACAAAUGAAUAAGAGAAAUUGAUGGGAAGAGAAAUAGUUGAGAAAAAAAAAAAGGGAAUAGUAAGAUAAAUCAAAUGAUAAAUGAUCAUUUAGAAAGUCACAUAGGCAUCUCUUUUUCUCCCCCUCACCCCACCUAAGUAUCACAUACGUCGCCCGCCUUCGCUCCACCACGGACUCCCUCGCCUUUCACUCCCCCACAAGAAGACCCUUUUCGAUCAACAUCUGAAGCCCCUCCUUCGAUCGCUCCCACUCCUUCCCCAACGAUCCCAAUCCUGAUUCCUAUUUGGUCUUUAUUUAUUACUUUUUAAAUUUCAUUUUAUAAUAUUUUAGUUUACUCUUUUUUUGUUUGCUCUAGUAUUGAUUUUAAGUCAGUAGAUGAUUGCUCCAAAUUCUAUGUCCCAUAAAUAAAAACUAAUUUGCGAAAGGAAUAAUAUGUAAGUACUAUGUAAAUUUCAAAUUUUGCAUAAUUUGGAGUUUUUUAUGAUUUUUUAUUAUGUGAGUUUUAUAUUUUUUUGGUUAUGUUAUUCUGGACUCGAUGCGUAUAUUUAAAUAAUUUAGUGAAGAUGAAUAUAUCUGCUAUAAUGCUCGGGUCACUUUACUAUUGAUUUUUAAGAGAAAUUUGAUUUGCGUCAAAAAAAGAAUCGGACGGAUGAAUCUAUUUAUUUGAUUUGUUAAAUGUUAAUUUAAAUCUUUUCAGUGUGCUCUUUAAUAUUUGUUANNNNNNNNNNNNNNNNNNNNNNNNNAACACCCCAACACACCCACACAAAAAGAGAUCUCCAGAGUACAGUAGAAGAUAUCUGCCAGCCACACCACACCACCCACACCAUAAGAAGCUUUCGACUCCUUCUCAUCCGCGAAGGGUGUUCUUUGAAUGUUAGGUUUAGCGGACAUGUAUCCUUUGAAGCACACUCCUUUUGUCCGUUCAGAUCACUUGCGCCGGCAGGCCUCCACUCAACGCUUCCUCCUCUUCUUUCUCUGCAUCUUCGGAAAGCUUCUCCCAUCUCCCUGUCAUCUCUACUAACAAACAAAAUAACAGAAAAAUACAAGAAGAAGAGAGCUAGACUUCAAAAGGAUCUGUGAGUCAAGCCUACCUGCUACUGGCCGUAUUUACAGACGUGAUGUGUAGUGUAGAUCUACGUCCUGAUCAACAAAUGAUGUCGGGCCCAUCAACUUGAUUGUUGUCAAUUCCACAGUUUCACCGAGAUUAGAUGAAGACAAAUACAAAGCUAGAACUAUUCACAGCCGUUCCGUUCAGCCAGCUCCUUUGCGCGUCGCUGAAUUUUUCCGAAAGAGAAGCCAGAGAUAUUCCUCGCGACAUAAUUCACGAAAUUGUCAACAGUUCAUUGCCGUGCAAUAUACUUAAAUAUGAAUAAAAAACUUAUACAUUUAUUUUUUAAAUACUACGAGUUAUUUAUCUUUAUAUCUUAAUUUUAUAUUUUAACUAAUUCUGUUUUUAAAGAAAUCCGAAUUUUCAGACAGAAAUUUAAAAAUUAAAAGCGGAAUUUUAAUACUUUAUUAAGUCCGACGUGGAGAUUUUCCGAAGCCGAAGUAAACUAACACUGAUGGUGAGAGAGAGGUCGCUGGGAUACGUGAUUCCUAACAAAAAAGACAACAUUUGUGGGCAAAAUAAUACAGAUGAGCAAUAAAUUUUAUCGCCACUAUACCAUAGUUACUUAUUGUCGCGCUCAACGUAAGAGAGUGCCAACUGAUAUAGUUUCACCCCCGAUAAAAAUGGUACGAUCACUAUUAUGCUUUGUUUGUCACUAAGAUUGCUCGGAAUGAAUUAUUUAUUUCGCGACUUAAAGACUUAGUUAUACUAAGCCCGCUAGAAGGCGCAAAACAAAAUGACCGGACCCGAGAGAGACUUAUAUAUUUGCAGAGGCGGGAUGACAUUGAGCUCGCGCUUGCCCUUGUCCUUUCUCGACCAUCCACAUCAAUCCCGCGUCCGAAGAGGCAUCAGAAUCAAUUCAUCACACACUGCUAUAUGCGAUCAAAGGAAAAUCGAUGCCUACAUAUAACAUUAACUCAAAGUGCAGCAGAUAACAAAAAAAAACCGUCAGAUUAGACAAUUCCAAAUAGAAAGAGCCAGAACUAGAGCUGGUACAUAAUAGUGGAACGAGAGAGAAACAUCGCAUAGAGAUCGAGAAAGCACGAAUCCGGGUCACUGCAAUGGAAGGAAUAACGAUCAGGCAACGCUUCACCUAUACUUGGGGAAAGCACACACUGCUAUCGGUUCCACCGAUAGAUUGAGCAGGCUGCCUAACAUUAGGAUCCUGUUUGGAGAUUAAUUAGAGUUAUAAGGCAAGUGCUCCCAUCUGAAUUCAAGUGUCCAAGCUGUAAGUGUCACAUGAUGUUGCAGCACUGAUGACUCAACAUGGUCAUUCCCCCUCGCAUGCAUAUCCAUUUAAUUUGAUUCAUGACAAGCCCUAACUAAAUAAUUAAAACUACUAGCAAUAAAUUGGAGGCAUAUAAUUUAAUUAUGCUUUCUUUUUCUUCAUUUAUCAAUAUAAGAUAUUAUAAUUCCGUAAUCCAAUGGUCUGACUACUAACGUAUCGGUCACACCCAGUCGCACUCUAUAGUAUCUUUAAUUCCUAACCAUAUGUGAAACCUAUCUGAGCUGAGCCACUUUCUGCGAUUAAAAAUCAAAUUAAUUUUUCUGAAUAAAUUACAUACUUUGAAAACUUCAUUUGUUGUUUCUGAACAAUUCAAAUAGGCUGGAGUAUUUUCAUUGAUUGAGCAUGCCGAUUUGAUGAUCAAGCAGCAAACAGACGAGAGCAUUUGAACUUCGAGAUUUCUUCAGAGUAUUUGUUAUUUAGACCAUGAUCCGAGUGUUCUUUUCUUCCCAAUUAAACAUGAUUUUGGAGUGGUUUUGUCACUCAUUUAAGAUUCAGUGUAGCUCAUCGGAAAGAUUCACUUCCACUGUGAUACUAAACAAAAAGUUAUAUCACUAAUCAUGGGUGCGAUUAAUUACCUUCGAUAAAUCACACGAGGGAAGAGAAUUUGAAUGCUAAUUCCUUUUGAAGUCAAAAUUAGUAUUAAAACAUCGAAUAUUAAAGGAUCCAUUUCAGAUAGAAGUUAACACAUCAAUUAAACUUAAUCUCAGAUGGCGAUUUUAUUUCUCCUACCAUCUCAAAAUCCAAAUAAUUAAUAGCUAUAAACUGUAGCCACUUUAGAAUAAGCUCUUUAAAUGGCCAGUUCCUCCUCUAAACUGAAAUUACAAGCAUUAAUUAUCAUUAUUUUACAAAAAAUCAUAUGAUUUUAUAUUAAGCUAAAUGGCACGAAUACAUGCGAAGGCUUAAUUAAUUAGUGCUAGGCAAUCUAAUUGAAAACUUAGUAAAAUUCCAAACCCAUGAUGAUUGAGACUAUUAACAUAAAAAUCCGCUUGAUUUAGACUAGAAAACAAACCCCUGAACCUUUUUGGUGUUUUAAAUCAACUACUCGUCGGUUUGACUUAAUCAUAUGACUAAUACAGUUAUAGAUUAGUUUGAUUAAUAAAGUAUGCAAAAUAGAUUUAGAUGCACUAAGGGCUAUGUUUGAAUUCAAGGGUGAAUUGGAAGAAUAAAUAAAAUGGUGAAUGAAUUGGAAUGGUAAUUCUGAAUGACCCACUCCCCCAGAGUACUGGUUUAUUGCGGAUUGGGAAUUGGAUAAGAUUAUCACCAUUGUCAUGUUUGGUUGUACUAAACAAAAAAAUUAUCUAGAGAUGGCUAUAAACUAAUUUAGUUCUCAAAUAUAAAUUUAUAGUUAUUAAAGUUUAGAAAAAUAUAAUACUAGCUAUUCUCGUAAUUAAGUUUUUCAAAAAAAAUAUCAAAUUAUUUUUAAAAACUUUACUGUGAUGGGUUAGGGAUUGAGGGUGAGAGAGAAUAGUUUUUUUUUUUUUGAUGAGAAAGGUUGAAGAGAAAGAGUGGUGAGAUGGUUACAUAAGACUUGACGAGAAUCUUAGGGGGGUCUUCCGAAAUUAAAUCUCAAUCCGGACGUAGAAGACCAGAAAUUCAAGUUGAAGGCUAAUGGGUUCAUCUCCCCAUUCCAGUCUGGAAUCAAGAAAAUCCUCCACCAAAUCCGAUGUCAUCGCGGAACGCAAACCAAAAUUAACCGGAUUUGAUCAAACUGAUUUCCAUUCCAUACUGAUAAAUGGAUGAACCACGAAGCCCCUAAGUGUUUUCACACGCUCGUGAAUUUGGCACUUGUGCAUUAAUUUGUUAAAUCAUAUAAAGAUCAUUGCUCUUGUAACAGGCUACUAGUUAGGUGAUCCGCGGAGCAGCGGAAAAAAAAAUUGUAAUAAAAAUUUAAAAUUAAAUAAAUAAUAUAAAUGUAAAUAAUGAAAAAAGAAUAUAUAACCAUAUUGAUUAGACUUAGUAGAGAGAAGAAGAGACGAGAAGAGAGAGUAAAAUGGAAUCAACAACUUCAACGAAAAAUACUGAAAAAACCGAAAAAAGAAAGUAGAAUUAUGUGAGAAGAAAAAAUUGUUAAUAGAUACUAUAAAAAAAAAUGUUUGAAUCUAGCAGUGAAAAGAUUUUUUGGUUAUUCUGGACUCGAUGCGUAUAUUUAAGAUAAUUUAAUGAAGAUGAAUAUAUUUUAUUUUUUUACUGAUAAUUUAUUAUUUUUAAAUUUUUAACUUUAAUAGUAUCUAUCUGCUACAAUGCUCGGGUCACUUUACUAUUGAUUUUUAAGAGAAAUUUGAUUUGCGUCAAAAAAAGAAUCGGACGGAUGAAUCUAUUUUUUUGAUUUGUUAAAUGUUAAUUUAAGUCUUUUCAGUGUGCUCUUCUUGCUAGAUUUCAAACAUUUUUUUUAUAAUAUCUAUGUAAUAAUUUUUCUUCUCACAUAAUUCUUACUUCAUGUUUGCUGCAUUGAUCAUCAAAUCGGAUGCUCAAUCAAUGAAAAUAACUCCAGCCCUAUUUGAAUUGUCGAAAACAACAAAUGAAGUUUUCAAAGUAUGUAAUUAUUCAGAAAAAUUAAUUUGAUUUUUAAAUCAGAAAAGUGUUAGAUGGUUCCAUUGUUAGGAUUAAAACUAUAAGAUGGACUUGGACGUACCCUACUAAUUAUAAUAAGUUAUAUUGUAAUGAAGAAAAAAGAAACAUAAUAAAUUAAUGCUCCAAUUAUAUUGUAGCUAGUUUAAUUCAUUAGUUAGGGUGUCAUGAUCAAAUUAAAUGGAUAUGCAUGUGAUGAAUUAAAUGGAGCACCUAUAACUCUAUAUUAAUCCCCAAAAUAAUCCAUGUGGCAGCCUCUCAUCUAUCGUUAACCGUUUCUCUUCCCCAUGUGACAGUUUAUCGUUCCCAUAUGACCGUUUCUCUUUCUCAUGCGACUAUUUCUCUUUCACAUUUGUUGUGAUUCUUCUUCUACUUAUUUCAUUGACUUUUUUUUUAUUAUCUUGCCUUUUUUAAUGUAGAUUGGUGGUGACUGAUUGAUCUGAUGCCUUCUUCAGCGUGAUAUGAGUCGAGGACGCCAAUAUCAUCCGCUCCUCCCUCAAUUAAUCGGUGGUCAAUUUUUUUGUCGCUACGGUAGAUAACCAAAUAGUGACAAUAAAAUAAUCAUUCAGUAACAAAAAUAGUAUUACCAUUUUUAGUUAACUAAUCAGUGACAAUUUUUUUUAUCGCCACAAUAAGUAACUAUAUAGUGGCGGCAAAAUUUAUCGUCAUCUUAUUUUUGCCACAAAUGUUGUCUUUUCUUGUAGUGACACUACUAUCCACGACCUCCUCUCUACCCUCAUAGUUAGUUAAUUCGGAUUCGGCAAAAAUUCGGUACGGAUAUAAUACGUAUAAAAUUCGUUUUCUAAUUUUUAAAUUCGUUGAAAAAUUCGAUUUAAAAAACAGAUUCGAUAUAAAAAAUAAAAUAUAAGAUAUAAAAUAUAAAAUAAUUUAUAUUUAAAAAUAAAAUUAUAAGUUUUUUAUUCAUAUUUUCAAUAAUUCGGCAAUAAUUCGCGAAUAAUUCGUGAAUUAUUCGCGAAUAAUUCUCUUUCUUUCGAAAAAAUUCGUAAACGGACCGUUUAAUUCGGAUUUUCAAUAAUUCGUGAAUAAUUCGCGAAUAAUCCGCGAAUUUUCUAACUAGAUCUACACUCCACAUCACCGUCGUAAACGGCCGCGUCGAGGUCAGCUUCGUUUAAUUGCUUCUUUCUCUCUUGUGAUUUUUUUGUUACUUUUUUUGUUAGAGAUGAAGGAGAUGGAAGAGUUUCCGAAGAUGCAGAGAAAAAGAGAGGAGAAGAGUUGGUGGAUAUGGUGGAUGGUGUACUCGAAUCUGUAGUCGAGAAUGAGAAUAAGGUUCCCGGCAAUGUCGGUGGUAGUGGUGGCGACGCAGCCUCGUGCGAUUGCAGCAGCAUAGGACUCCACUAUUAAUAGGAGUUAGAGGUGAGGGUUAGCAUUCCAACGCGCUAAUCGCCCCGUCCAUAAUACCUUCUUUGUUUUUAUUGAUGAAUACUUUUUAUUUUUUAUUGGUAGCUUCUAUACUUUUCACCUGGUGUGAAACACGGGUCUUUUCAUUAGUUCUUGAUUAAGAUGUUUUGUCUCAACCUGACGGAGACACACAACCACCCUCAUUUAUGCAUUCAUUGCCAUCUAAUUUUAUUUAUGCACACAAACUACUCCCUUCUCAAUCAUAAACUUAUUAGGAAACUAUGUAGUUGUGAAAAUUGUAUAAAGCUUGUGAGCUCGUUAAUGAACAUGUUCACUUUUUUCUUGGUUAAGGAUUAGGAGAAAAAGACUAUUGGGGAAAAGUUGAGCUUGAGUGCUUUCCGGAAGCACCGAGAUUUUUUUUUAUUUAUGAUUUUACUUUGUUUUUUAUGAUGAGACAUCGAUCUGAACAGAUAAUGGACAUCGUUAGACAACUGUAGUUUACAAUUCUAUUUGUAAUAGUUAAGGACUAAAUUUCGUGAUUUUUCAUUACUUUUUAACCUUAUGACUGGACGGUUUGAAAACGAAGAGCUGAAAACGAAAUUAUCAAAAAGAUGAUGCGAUUCUUAAACUUUAUACCAGAAACACUAGUCUUACUCUAGAGAGUGAAAAGAGCUUUUCGACAAAUUUCAGCUAAUAAAUUUGUAUUGUUUUCCAUACUUACUAAUUAAACUUAUAACUAGCUCAUAAACAUCAUCAAAAUUGUUGAUUUUGACAACUUUCAAACAUUGAACACGUAAUGUUGAAAAAAAAUAUAAAAGUGAGGCUUCUAAAUACUUCAAAUUAUGUAUAUCAUGCCUAAUAAUAUCGAUCAUCAAUUCAGAUAUAUCUUUAUCAAACUCAAAGUAAUAAUAUGGAAAUUCCUAUCCUUUCGGAAACACUGCAACUCAACUCCUACGUGGCGAAGAAAGUAUCACAGUGAAUAGACAUAAUUAAAAACUACUAUAGGACUAUGCCACAUGCAACAACUAUAUAUGUAUAUAUGAAAUACAACAAUUAUAUAUAAUCAAUGUAGCCUUAAAUUGCCAACCCUAAAAUUUGUUGGCGUUCACCAUUACUUUGCAGAGCCAUGCACUUCUAUAAAUAGAAAGGAUUCUUCAUGCUUCUAUUUUAAAGCAACCCAAACUAGAGAGUGCAUGCACAACAAAUAAUACAUUUUAUAUAUAGAAGAGAGAAAAUGGGGGAAUGUUGUAAGAGGACCUUGUUGAGUGCUUCUUUUGGCCAUAGAGAAUACAUUGUGCUAUUUCUAGUGAUGUUUCAGCUUGUUAGGGUUUUAGGGUACACUUCGAAUAAUCGGAUGAAGGUUCCCGCUAUGUUCACGUUCGGCGAUUCGAUCAUCGAC
rnacentral:lncRNA from 1 species